rnacentral:miRNA from 2 species
CAAAGUGAUGAGUAAUACUGGCUG